AGAGGAAGUAAAAGUCGUAACAAGGUUUCCGUAGGUGAACCUGCGGAAGGAUCAUUAAUGACUUAAGAGCCAUUCACACUCUUGUGGCCGAAUGGUGAAGUAUGAUGACCUAAGCCGCUUGCGGAAGAGGCAUAUUGAGAUCAUGUUUAAGUAGUGAUUAAUUACGCGUCGCUCUAUUGACGCGUGUCGCUGGCAACUAGCUUGUCGGUUUGACAAAUUCCCAGAGUGUGUGCUAUAGAGUAGAUGAGUUAGCAAGACUCAAUAUGGAGGAUCACUUAGUCCCUAAAGCGAUGAAAAACGUAGUAAUUUGUGGAAAUUGAUGUGAGUUGUGAAAUUUUGUGAGCAUUGUGUUUUUGAAUGAAAAUUUCAGCAUAGGUGCAAGAGUAUCUACGCUGCACUUGUUUCAGUAUAUUGACAUAGAAAUACGUAGUUACUAUUGCUGCGAUGCAAUAGUAUAAGUUUUCCUUAAUCAGAAGUGUGAUGCUAAUCCGUGUAAUGGACGUGUAUCUGAACUCAAGUGUGAGAACCCCCUGAAUUUAAGCAUAU
rnacentral:misc_RNA from 1 species